rnacentral:lncRNA from 1 species
UGCUUAUUUUAAAUUCUUAAUUUGUUUGUUCCAAUAUUUCUUGGGAAUAUUCCAUAUAUGGAAUAUAUUGUAUAUGGAUAUUCCAUAUCCACUUGAUACGAUAUGUGUUGUUGUGUUUGUGGUUUUCCUUCCACAGUGGUUCUAACCUCAGGUAAUUUAGGCUGUGAGCUGAUCUUCCUCUAGAGUUAUAGGUACUAGGAUGAGAAGCCAAGGCUUAGGCCCCAGUUUAUGGCCUCCUUGUGAUUUUAAGAAGUUGGAAGAUGAGCCCUAGGGCAGAGAGUCCUAGACGCCACAACUGCAGUCAGCCACCCAUCUGUUGCCCCUCCAUUAGGCAUCCCGCUCGUGGGGUUCUCCUCGAAAGUUUUAAAAGGGAGAAGACGGUUAUCUCUAUGUGAUCCACCAUCCUGUAUGUGGGAUUGGUGAGGAAGACUGGAGGAGCGAGUGCUCAGGGCAGCUGGUCAGUCUUCCCUUUUCAUGUGGGCUGUUGUUGCUGCCUCUGACUCACCGUGGUUACAGGGCAGGCAGUGAUCCAAGGAAAUCUGAGAGAGAGGCUAGAGCGGAACCGAGCAGCGUUCUCUUUACCUGUUCUUCCACCUCUGCAUGCCUCUCCUCCCGGAGUUUAUGAUGGCCUUUAGUCUCUCCAGGGAUUUCUCACAGAUUAAUGCAUUCCUCUCUCUUCUGAGAUUUCCCUGGAGCUGACUCCCUGUGGCCUGAGCCCAGUAAACAUCUUGUCUGUACUUCAUGGGGUAGCAGUGGGGGAUUGGUUCCUGAAAGCUUUUGAGUUUUGCUGUAAGAAAAUUAAUCUUGCAGCAGAGUGCAAUAAAAGGAGGAAGGAAACACAGUUACUAGUCUAGGGUCGGGGGAGGAUGGAAUCUUUUGUGUGUGUAAAAGUGCUCGGACAAUAGCAAUGUGCCCUGGAACAGAGUGCCUCCUGCAAGCCCAAAGUCUUCACCAACAUUCAGGUUCCACCCAGAGACCACAUUCUCACUGCCUUCUGUGGGUCACCUCCCCCUGUCCUUUUGGGAAUCUUCUCCUUCAAUCCCAUAGAGAACCAACACAAGAGGGAAAGAGGAAGAGUCGGAGCAGAGUCUCUUCCUAAAAGCCACCAUCUGUGGGCGUGAGUGUCUUUGGUCCACGGAUUUCUCCUAAGACCCAUGAUGAUUUUGAUGAGAGAGUAUUGAUUUUAUGGUUCAUUGGUAAGUAUAUUAACAUACUUCCUCCUACACCAUUUUGGGGAGUACAUUUUCUUUCUCUUUGGAGAGAAUCCGUUUUCAAUGUUUUUUCUUAGGAACUGUUUCUUGUGAUAAAACCCAAUAGCUAGAGAUCACCAGAAACAAAUCAAUAUUUCAACAAAGGCAGAUCUACUUUAUUCUCUGCCUGUCUCCUCCCUCCUGGGUGAUUGUGUUAAACCAACGGUUAACAAAGAGGCAUAUGUAAUGGACAAGGAUCAUUUACAAGCCUACUGUUACUUGCCGCACACGCGAUCCAAAGGAAGAAUUGCCAUCAUGAAGGAAGAUUCUGACCAGGGCCAGAAUCUGAAGAAUCCUACAUGGAAUACAUUCUGUGCAGGGCAGGUUUCUGCCUUCCCCAAGUUCCAUUUCCUUUAGCCCUUUAAGUGAAGGGCUGACAAGUAUUAGCAUAUAAGGGAUGUGCCUUGCAAGUAAAUAUCUUCCUGCUAGGUAGAACCUUGAAAGAAAAAUGCACCGGCUUGGUUUUUUGCCCUUUAAUUCUUUUUUUCUAUUUUAUUUAUAAACAACAUGGAAGAAAAAGUUCAAAAUCUAGAAAUCAAGAAAAUUAAACUGAAAAGUGUGUCUCAGUGUAUUAUUGUAUAUUCUAAUUUUAUGUAAUUUCCCCCCUUUUUAUUCUUAGAAAGUCAUGAAAUUCAAGAUCUGUGAGAAUCAGCAACUCUUAUUAUGCUUUUUUUCCUUGCUGUUUUGAUGUUAGUAGAUUUAGAUAACAAACCAUUCAUUCAUUCAGAUAGUUACCAUACUGUUGGGGAUACAGAAAAGAGGCAGACACGGACCCACCCCUUUUAGGUGCUCGAAGCCCCUGAAUAUCCUUCCUGCAUUGUGCUUUAGGACCACCUCUAAAGAAAAGAAGCAGCAAAAUGCUUCUUUUUUUGAAUGUAUGGCAUACAUAUGACUCAUUAUAUUUAUGAUUCCUUUAAGCUUAAAUUAGGAGGAAGUUCCUAGAGUAUGUUGUAGAGUAAGCAAAAAAUGGUUGUGAUAGAUUGCAAAAAUAGCCACAAAUUAUUUCAUCCCUGUGUGCAUGCCCUUUGGCAAUGUGAGUUUAUGGUCUUCCCAUCAGGAGUUUAAUUCUUUUUCUCCACCCAGUAAACAUGGACUUGACCCUGUGACUUGCUUGGCCUCAACACAUGAACAAAUGUACUGCACGUAGAUGCUUGAGAAGGGCUGUGCGUUAGGGCUUGCUGUCUUGCUGUACCUGGAACCCUGAGACAGCCUUGUGAAUGGCCUGAGCUACUCUGCUGCAUGAAGAGAGAGACGCAGUCAUGUCCAUGUCGCUCCACUAACAUAUGCCAACCACCAGAGAUAACACUGAGGCUAUGCUAGACCACAUGAUGCCAGCUGAACUGCCAGCCGCCUAGAUGUGUGAGUGAGCAGCACACAUCAGCUGAGCAGACCCAGACCAGAACUACCACUUGGAAAGUGUGCAUUGGAUUCUUUCCAACACGGAGAAUUAUGGAAAAUACUAAAUGUUGUGAUUUUAAGACACUACAUUUUGGAGUGUUGUUAUGUAGUAAAAGCUAACCGAUACAAUGGUAUUUUUCUAAUCUCUUAAAACUUUUAAAUGCUGAAACUACAGGAUUAGGAUGAGUUCAGAAUGUGAAAAUAUAGUCUUAUGAUGUAACAUUUCUUAAGACUGGCCAUAAAUUCUAUUGAAAUUUUGAAUUCUAUUUGAAAUUUAAUUCCUGAGGAAUUAAAUAAUUGAUAAAGAUUUUUAAAAAAUACUUUAUUGACGUAUGAUUGACAAAAAACUGUAGAUAUUUAAUGUAUACAGCUUGAUGUGUUUGGGAAUUGGUAGAAAUUUUUAUUGUUUUUUAUAAUCUCUAGUGAAGAUGUGAAAUUGAAAUUGGUUGGGGUUAAGAUUUCCAGUUAGUAAAUGAAUAAAAGAAGAGCUGAUUGUCCCA